GGUUGCGAUCAUACCAGCACUAAUGCAUCGGAUCCCAUCAGAACUCCGUAGUUAAGCGUGUUUGGGCGAGAGUAGUAAUAGGAUCGGUGACCCCCUGGGAAGUCCUCGUGUUACAACCC
rnacentral:rRNA from 1 species